UAUAUCCUUUGAUGUGGCUCUCUCUCUCUCUCUAUGUUGUGGCCGCAGGACAGAGAAGAACCAGAUGGGACUAGGACUGUAGAUUGGCUUGUGGUGAAGAGGGAGAGAGGGAGGAAGCAACAUAUAUAAAGAAGUUCCCUCACAAAUGUUGAAAGACAGACAGGCAGACACUCACAGACAGGCAGGCAGACACUCACAGACAGACAGGCAGGCAGACACUCACAGACAGGCAGGCAGACACUCACAGACAGGCAGGCAGACACUCACAGACAGGCAGGCAGACACUCACAGACAGGCAGGCAGACACUCACAGACAGGCAGGCAGGCAGGCAGGCAGACACUCACAGACAGACAGGCAGGCAGACACUCACAGACAGGCAGGCAGGCAGGCAGGCAGACACUCACAGACAGACAGGCAGGCAGGCAGACACUCACAGACAGGCAGGC
ensembl:lncRNA